UGAAUGUGACUUUAGAUGGCAAGAACAUGA
rnacentral:piRNA from 1 species